GAUGAACGCUGGCGGCGUGCUUAACACAUGCAAGUCGAACGGGUGCUUUGGGAAACUGGAGUACUAGUGGCAAACGGGUGAGUAACGCGUGGGUGACCUACCUCAGAGUGGGGAACAACAGACCGACCCGCCCGCUACUACCGCAUAUGCUCGUUGAUUCAUUUUGGCGAGUAAAGGCGCAAGUCGCUUUGAGAGGGGCCCGCGUCCCAUCAGGUAGUUGGUGAGGUAAUGGCCCACCAAGCCGAUGACGGGUAGCUGGUCUGAGAGGACGAUCAGCCACAAUGGAACUGAGAUACGGUCCAUACUCCUACGGGAGGCAGCAGUGGGGAAUAUUGGACAAUGGGCGAAAGCCUGAUCCAGCCAUGCCGCGUGUGUGAAGAAGGUCUUCGGAUUGUAAAGCACUUUAAGUUGGGAGGAAGGAUUGUUAGCUAAUAUCUAGCAGUUUUGACGUUACCAACAGAAUAAGCACCGGCUAACUCUGUGCCAGCCGCCGCGGUAA
rnacentral:rRNA from 1 species